rnacentral:lncRNA from 1 species
UGGGGCUUAUGAAGCAAGGUGAUGGUAGCAGAGGGCUUCAGCAGUGAUCUCUGUGAGCAGAGCCCCACAGUGCGCCAUGUCAGAGCACAGCAGCUCCAGCUGCUCCAACAGGGCCCCACUGCUGCCAGAGAACAACUGCUGCACAGCUGGGAGAGAGGGGGGAGCAACGAGAGAGCAGCGGCCCUGAGAGCACCAGGCUCAGGGCAGGAGGUGGGCAGGAGGCGGGCAGGAGGCACUCCAGCAGCUCCAUGCAGCCCAGGACAGGCCCACGGAGGAGCAGGCUGUCCCCUGCAGCCCAUGGGCACCAGGAGGAAGAGUGAGAGCAGCGUGGGAUGCUGAGCUGCCUACUGGUGUGAAACAACCACAGCCAUAAAGCUGUGCCCCCCGUAUGCAGCUGGUGUAUACAGAUGCAAGCAGAAGGGGAAAGAAGAAAAGAGUAGUUGUUUGUUCUCCUUCACAGCUGUGCAGAACAGAUUCUUCAGCACCUCCGAAGAGCCAGUCUUCAGGACACAGAGGCUGAAUCAUAUCCUGCACUUCCAACAACCGUUAUUAAUCACAAAAAUAUCUUUCCAAAGAAAUACUGCAAAAUCCUUCACUGAAAUCUCAUUGUUGGCUGUUGGUUUCUCCACUGGCAAAUACUCAGAUGAAGCACUGAGAAAUGAAAAGGAGGGAGUUCAUGCACCUGCCUCGUUCUAUAUCCAUGUAUGUCAAUCUGAAAGGGCUGAGACUAAAAAUAAUUGGUGAAAGAAAAGCAAAUUAAUAUGAAAUGACUUAAAAUUAGGGCUCUGAGUUCUGUGGAGAAAAGAACUGGUCAGCUAAUCUCAGACUUGCUGUCUUUGUGUCACUUCCACUUAUUAAGAGUUUUUCAGUUGACAGGUAUGCAAUUUAUGCUUAGAUUUGAAUAAAAAUUGCAGGGUGAAUGCUAGAGAAGUACAAUGAAAUCAGAUGACUGAAUCAAAAGUUCUUCCAACUUUUUUUGUUUGUUUCUAUUAGUGCCUUUGAGUAGGCUCAUUAUGGGUUGAAAAGUUAUUUCUGAGAAAAUAUACAUGAGUUAGGAUGGAACUCUGAAAAAUCAGUCAUGAAUACCUUCAUUUUGAUGAGUUGCUUUCAUGAAUCAAAAUUGAUGGAACUGUUCAGAACAAGUUUGGAUCACAAGAGCUGCAUGAGGCUGUACACGGUCUGAGUUUUCUCUCCACAGUGACAGAGACCAGACCAUAAAGGCUAAUGACAAUACUUAAGAUUUUGAUGUCUUGCUCACAUGAACAAAAUUCAUGAGUGUUUUCUUUCUUUUUUUAUCUUACUGAGCAGAAGAGAAAAUAUCCUAGGUGUUGUUUUUUUUUUCCCCAUAACCUUGCGCAAUUCAGACGCUGAUAGAACAGCCUGAAGAUCUUUGUAAUUUGAACCAGCUGACAAUGAUCACUUCAGGAGCCCAGGCUCUUUGAAAAUUGCCAUAGUUUACUGACUGACAGUUGCUUCUCCUAUCUGUCUUAAACUGCAAAAUGCCCUAAAGGAAUUGCAGAAAGGGAAGCAUAAAGACUGAGUGAUAAGCUCUAUAUCAUUGCAGAAUUGCCAGGAGAGUAUUUAUAGCCAAAAAAGGAGAAGUUAAUAACCAGUAGCUUUCAGGCUACUCAUACUUGCUCCCAGACCACAGCCAUGACCGCGUCAGUACCGGUGGGUCAUUGUCUGCAAAACCUCUGCAACCCGCUGGUCCCUGAGGGAUACUUUGGGUCCAUGACAUUUGCCACCAGGUUUAAUGAGCUGAUGUUUCAUGGUUCUUUGUAAUAAAUAACUUGGUGCUCUAUUUUGAAGCAGGCUAAACCUUCAGCCAUCUUGCUGCUAGAUAAGCUGAACCAUCCUUUUGCCGGUCUCUCCCCCUUUCCUCUGGAAGGAGCCAUUUCAGAAGGUUGAAGCUGCAAAGUCAAAUAAACCUUCUGGGGAACUUUCCUUCUCUGCCUUUCUGAAAUGCUUUCUAAUUCACCAGGCAAGUGAAUUAGUUGUAACACCUACACUGUAGCUGGCUGAAAUGCAGUGAGAAGAAUUUAGUGCAGAAAAAAUCUUCACUCAGUUUCAAUACCGGACUUUGAAAUAUCUCAGCUUCUACUUCAGCCUGUAAUUUUGACUGAUGAACCUCACAUUUUGAUUUCCUUUGAACAGUGACCAUGGCUUUCAAGGGGAAAUAUUUAGCUUGUACAUGUAAAGAAGGGGCCAGUGUUCAAAAGCAACUACAAAACUGUUCUUGAUCAACUCAGCUGAAACCAACGGCAUGCCUGUAGUCUCUCUAUAUAAUUCUACAUGAAGACAUGAGAAAAAAAUCUAGAUGAAAUAAAGCUGCCUUCAGGCAGUUUUACUUCGCAAUGGAAGAGACGAUUCAACUGAUUGCUAUAUUGCAGACAGCAUGGUUCCUUGCUGCAUGGCAGGGAUAAUACUUAUUUUCAUAUGGAUGGGCUGUUCUUGAUUAAUUUCUUUGUGAUUGAAAGCUCAGGUAGGGCUCUGGAGACAUCACUUCUAUAACUGCUAAGCAGGGCCACACCAUGGUUAUCUAAGCAUGUGCUCAAAUGUGUGAUCUUUCACUGCAUUGAAUCAAUAGCAGCUCAGAGAUAAUGUUCGUUGCUGCUGAGGGCUGCAGGAGGAAGCUCAGGCCCUGUAGGGCCAUGAUGAGGGCAGAGAAGAGAGUCUGUCCAGUUCUGCUCUCCAGGUGUGUAGGGAGAAGAAAAGAGGGGAAACGAAAAAGAGCCCCAGUACUGCGAUAGCGGGAAUGUGGAGAGGUGGAUGAGAAAAAAUUGUGAAUGGCUUUGGAGGUUGAGGAGGUGUAUGGAGCUGAAGCUGAGUGCUGUCAUCUCUGAGGCUACAUGAGGUGCCUGUGGGGGUCUGGAAACAGGAGGAGUGCCCCAUUAAGAGCAUCACUCAUGAGCAAUGUCCAACAGAGCCUGGAGAAGAGCUCCCGACAGUCUAUUCCCAUGCAUAUUGAUUUUCUCUUUAAAAAACAUUCAGAGUAUUUAUGAAAUCAUGCGGAAAAUGCUCCUUGGCAAACAUUAGCCACUUCUUGGAGUUUUCUAAUGGAAAGCAAUCUGGACUUUGAAAUUUAUAAAAUGUAAUGUGAACGUGCAAGAUCCAUUUGUUUCUCUUUGAAAUACAGCUGAAAAAUGUGCCACCCUAGCCUCCAAUUUGAAUCUGCAAGAAUACCCCUUUGGGGGAUAUUCUGUGAUUUUACAUGAAUUCCCCUGUUUAUUUCAAAUUACUUUCUUGAAAUCCUUACUAUGAAAUGCAGUGGGUGGAGGGAGAGAAACACUCAGCAGGGCAUAUCUGCCUCUGGCUCCAGAUAAUUAAAUAUUUAAAUAUUAAUUCGGGGGGGGGGGGGGGGGGGGGGGGGGGGGGUGUUGUUGUUUUUUUAUUAUUAAGUAUAUUAUUUGUAAUAAGUGUGCAAGCAGCCCAGAGGCUGGCCAAGAACAGAAGCAAGAUCAAAACACACAUGAGAGACGGGGAAUGAAAGAAAUGGGAAAACAGGAGAAGAAGUGCCUCCGGACAACAUUUUACAAUUUUUAGAUAAGUUUUGAAAAUGUAUUGACUCAUUCUCCCCCAUACUUAUGUAGCUGCACUCUCUGUGACUGUGUGGAAGGGGAAAACAACUGAGUGACAUAGUCUUGGAGUUUUACCAAUGCUACUGAAAGAGAACAUACCAUUUUACAGUUACCUGUUGGGUGGCUUUUUUUUAAAGCAUUCAUCCUGUCUGGCAGUUGGCUCUCCUACAGAACAGGUGAAAUUUAAAAGAACGAAUAUCACGCUCUUCCAAGUAAAUCUAUUCAUUAUAAAUUGUGAGGAAAACACUUGGAUGGGUUCUCAAAUACGAUGAAUAAAUUAAGUUUCUCUUGGGUAUGUCUAAUUUAUGUUAUCCGUAAACUUGAAUGGUACAACUGCAGCACUAAAAGCUCAAUAGACUUUAUCUUGUCUGGUAUCAUUGGCAGCUGUCCAGUAAAGCACUUACACAUGGCUUAAUUUUAAGGACAUGAUGCCCUGGUUUCAAGCCAUAGUACCCAGCAGCAUACUGGAAUAAUUCAGUCAUAAGCAUUUUGAAAAGCCAUGCGACAAAUACAAACCUGCUGCUUCUUAAAGACACCUAUAUGCAGUUGAUUCAAACACAUUAUUUUACCAGUAUGUGUUGAAGAUACACCUAGAAUAUUCCUUUUCUUUCUAGCUUUUUUUCCCUUAGUACUAAGCAUAUUUAGCAGAAUUGUUUGCAGUUUAACAUCACGAUAAAUAAUAAUUCACUUCUUUUGAAUCUGUAUUUGAUAAAGAGAACAGGAUAAAAUGGAGGGCUAAUGUGCAUUUCUGAGAUGUCAAUUUUUCCUUGCUGUUCUUGCUGAAAUAUAGCCACAUCUUGUCAAAUUAGGAUUCCUGGAGAUUCUGUCGGUGAAUACAUGUUUAAUUCUUUCACCUUGUUAUGAACAUAUUAUUAGACUUUCAUAUCUGUCAUUUACUUACCACAAAUGCCAGCAGUUGCUUUUCCUCCCCCAACUUUCUCUUUUUUUUAGCAGAAGAAUAUUUUGCUCCUCCAGCUUCAAUCCAAACAACUAGAAUAACAACAAAAAUGCAUCUUGUUGUAGAAUUUUAAUUUACGCCCUGCAAAACUCAUGAUUUAGAAAUCUUCCUUUUUUUUUUUUAACAGAACAAUGAAAGAGCCAUGCCCUUCUCAUGAUUGAUAGGGGUUGUAAGCAUUACGUGCACUGAAGGAUAAACUCCUAUCUCCAAAAUCUGUGAGGGCAGGCAAGACAUAUUUAUCAGAAAUCACCUCUUGGCCUUAAAUUCUGUAAGUCACCUUAACAGUACUUCCACUCAGAGGCUGACCAAGUAGUACAAGCUUAAAUUCUAGGAAAUCAUCCCUCCUGGUACACAAAGUCACCAUUAUAUUACAAAAUGAAACUAUUCAUUUAAACUGGAUUCUGUGGAUAAACUGCAUUUAUUUACAGAAGUCUUCAUUGGUCACUUCUGAGAUCUUUUUGGAUGAUUAUUUUUACAACGGCCUAUUUCAUUUGGUACCAUGUCUUCAAGAGUUGUUUCAGGAGGACAGUGUCUUCAGUAAGUCAUAACUCUUUUUUGAUCUCCACAUGCUAGCAAUUCUGUCUGUAUGGAGGUUUGUCCUGAUACCAGCUGGCAUGGCUGGGGGUCAUGCGAAUGGAAAAGUAGAUAUGACCAAAUUAGCUGUUAUUAGGAAUACUGGAAAUUGGCAAUUAUGAACUGUAUGGCAUCUGUGUAUAAUGUAGCACUCCGGUCUUGCAGACAUCUGAACAAGAUGGGUCAAAUGUCAAACCAGCCUCUAGAGGGAUGUCUGAACAAUUGCUUCCUUCUUUGUGCAUGUAUAUGAACAUUGCCUUUAAAAUAAGGAAAGUGAGAUAAUACAGAGGACAGGUUUGUUUUUACGAAGAAAAAAAUAGGUUGCAAAAUGAACUAGCUAGGAAAGGCAGCCAGCAAAGAAGCUCACAUAAUUUCUUGUUUUAGGUGCUAAAAGGAGAUUUGAGGUUUUGUUCAUGUAUGGUGUACUUCUGAAAAGCUUCCACAUUCCAUCCUGAAGUUGUAUGCACUUAAAGCUGGACAAUGAUGUGAUGCACGACAUUGUAUUACCCAAACAGGGAAGAAUUUUUAUUUUGCAUAUAGAUUUAACAAAAAGAUGCAGAGAAAUUUUCAACAUACCAUGUACCUUAUUGUGAGGUUCAUAAAUCUCAAUUUUCUUUGACUUUUGUCCUUGAUCCAACAGAAAUACUAAUUCUAAUCCUCAUAAUAUUGAGCAAUUUAUUUUCGCUGCCAGCAAUCUUCAAAGAAGAGUGUUUUUGUUGUUGUUGUUGUUGUUGUUUUUCCUGUUAUCUUCAAUAGCACCGAUACAGACAGAAAACAAAUGACACAGGAAGACUGAGCUUGUGGUUAUAGCAUGAGGCAGUAUCAAAACAAUGAAGGGAAGCCUGUGCCUCUUACCUUUUAGCCAGUGCACUGAACUUCUGCAGCUGAAUGCUUUCAGUGAAAGUUGGGCGAUGAGUGCCAUAUUGCUAAAUGAAUUUAAUUUAUUAAUGGGUCACAAACCUGUUAAACAAUUUCUGAUGUGAAUACAAUUAUAGCUGAUUGUGUGAUGUUGCAUAGUCUACUGGACCACAAUUAGCCGAGGAAAUGCUAAUUAAAACUGAACUAAAAAAGUUUGUCAAUGUUUAUGUAGUCUCGUCUUUCUUGUGUUUUUAUAACUGCUGCUUGCAGUACAAUUAAAGGUAUAAGCCACUAAUCAAUUCAAGGUCAAAUUGUACAGCCUUUCUUAAAAAUAAGAGGGAAAUGAGCUAACAGAAUUGGAAAUAUCAGCAAGGCAAAGCACAAGAACCCUAAUAGAUUUACUGACCUUUACUCUUCAGAUGGGUUAGUAGUCAUUAUAAUGCUGUGAAU